GAUGAACGCUGGCGGCGUGCCUAAUACAUGCAAGUCGAGCGAACAGACGAGGAGCUUGCUCCUCUGACGUUAGCGGCGGACGGGUGAGUAACACGUGGAUAACCUACCUAUAAGACUGGGAUAACUUCGGGAAACCGGAGCUAAUACCGGAUAAUAUAUUGAACCGCAUGGUUCAAUAGUGAAAGACGGUUUUGCUGUCACUUAUAGAUGGAUCCACGCCGCAUUAGCUAGUUGGUAAGGUAACGGCUUACCAAGGCAACGAUGCGUAGCCGACCUGAGAGGGUGAUCGGCCACCCUGGAACUGAGACACGGUCCAGACUCCUACGGGAGGCAGCAGUAGGGAAUCUUCCGCAAUGGGCGAAAGCCUGACGGAGCAACGCCGCGUGAGUGAUGAAGGUCUUCGGAUCGUAAAACUCUGUUAUUAGGGAAGAACAAAUGUGUAAGUAACUAUGCACGUCUUGACGGUACCUAAUCAGAAAGCCACGGCUAACUACGUG
rnacentral:rRNA from 1 species